rnacentral:rRNA from 1 species
GUGGGGAAUUUUGGACAAUGGGCGCAAGCCUGAUCCAGCAAUGCCGCGUGUGUGAAGAAGGCCUUCGGGUUGUAAAGCACUUUUGUCCGGAAAGAAAUCUCCUGGGUUAAUACCUCGGGGGGAUGACGGUACCGGAAGAAUAAGCACCGGCUAACUACGUGCCAGCAGCCGCGGUAAUACGUAGGGUGCGAGCGUUAAUCGGAAUUACUGGGCGUAAAGCGUGCGCAGGCGGCUAUGCAAGACAGAUGUGAAAUCCCCGGGCUCAACCUGGGAACUGCAGUUGUGACUGCAUGGCUAGAGUGCGUCAGAGGGAGGUGGAAUUCCGCGUGUAGCAGUGAAAUGCGUAGAGAUGCGGAGGAACACCGAUGGCGAAGGCAGCCUCCUGGGAUGACACUGACGCUCAUGCACGAAAGCGUGGGGAGCAAACAGGAUUAGAAACCCUUGUAGUCC